UAACCACUCCGACGUUUGCUGGACCAGGCGGACGCAAAAACCCUGAAUUGGAUAGGCCGCUAUACUUUUUCAAACACGUACAAAAAUGAAACAGAAAUCCAGCAGAAAUUAACAUGAAGACUCAAGGUCGCGCGCCCGUGCACAGUGUCUUUAUGGUCAUUAUAUUAUACGUCUGGGAGCUGCGAAUGAACCCCACCUCCACAUCUUAAACAGGCUACCAGUACCACUCACCGACCACUCCUCCUGAUUCCACUUUGAACAACGCACGUUCACCGGUAACUGCAGCACCAUCUCGUUGAAGGCCCUCCCCCUCCUCUUCGACCACUUGAACUUGUCCAUGGCCUCCGUGAAGGUACUGGAACUCCUGGAAGUUAAAGUCAAAGUCUUCAUCCUGCGCCAAGGGCUGCAGCUCCUCCCCGUCCCGGAAAUGUCUGGU